AAACAACCAAUCCUUUAACUCAGGGCUGCGUUAUAAACACGGAGCGCUUGGAAGACCACGAUGUCAUCUUCCUUCUGUCAGGAGGAUCAAAGUGAAGCUACAGGAGUUUCAUUAACGUCAACAACUUGGACCGAACACUUUGUUUUGCUUGAUGAAGAGCAGGAAGGGCAGCCUGGAGAGAAAGAGAAGCCGGGUUGAGCCCACUAACAUCAUCCACGUACCACGAGGAAGAUGAGGGAAAGAAAUGAUCCUACCAUUAAAGAGACUGUGAAAAGAACGUUGAGAACAUCACCACUCUACAGGAAGACACAGUCCAGUAAUGGGUGUCAGAAUUUCAGUAGUGAACGACAGGUACUGUGGAAAAAUGUGUGUCAUUGUUGUACAAUGUCCUUUGACUCUGUUUAAACAAGGUCAACACAAAAAGGUUUGAUUGUAAACUGAUAUUGGUAUGAAUUCAUGUUACUCUCCUCUUCACAAGAAACAAACAAUCCAAAUUACCUGCAGAAAGCCCUUGAUGGACGCUUCAGCUGCAUCGUCAGACUGGCCAGACAGCAAGAUGCCAACUUUAAUGCCAAUUUAUUUGUGUAACAUUCUGUGACCAAAUGUAUAGAUAACUUUUUGUAGAUUGUAAAAAUAGAUAACCCAUUUAUUACAAAAAAACUACACUAGAAUUACCGCACUGCGUUGUAUGACUCCGCUAAGCAGUGCAGUGUCCGUCUACAUAUUUCUACAUAUUUUCUCUCAUAUAAAUGACACUGUAUCUCUUGACAACUGAAACCAUAAGAUGAGGUCAGUGUGGCCUUGACCUUUUUACUUUAAGACAAAUACAAAGUUAGACAAUCCGAAAACAUGCAGUUAUGCCUCCGGCGACUCGCUAUUGCAGAGGCAUUAAAACCGUAGUGUAGUAGAUUGGAUUUUAUUGGUGUUACAUUAGACAUCUUGUAUGGGUACACCAAAAAAUAUAUUUGGUUUCACAUUCUAGAUGGCAAUAAGCAGAGUCAUCAACUCAGGAAAAAUAUUUCUGUAGAAAAGAAAGCCUUGUAUGUGUGUAUGUAUACAUACACACAAACGCACAAUUGAGACUUUUUUGUCUUUUAUCAUAUAU